UACGGAGGUCUCAAGCGUUGUUCGGAUUCAUUGGGCGUAAAGGGUGCGCAGGCGGCUUCGCGUGUGUGCGGUGAAAUCGCCUGGCUCAACUGGGAGGGGGCCGUGCAGACGGCGGAGCUUGAGGGUCGGAGAGGGGCGUGGAAUUCCGGGUGGAGCGGUGAAAUGCGUAGAGAUCCGGAGGAACACCGACGGCGAAGGCAGCGACCUGGACGACAUCUGACGCUCAGGCACGAAAGCUGGGGGAGCAAACAGG
rnacentral:rRNA from 1 species